UGUGGAUGACAUUUUUAUGGGGGACAUCUGUGGAUGGCACACUGUUAUGUCAUGGCUACAUGCUGGAGGUAACUGGUGAGUUGUUUAUGAGUCGGCCUCAUGCUCCUGUAAUUUGCCCACUGGCUCCUGGUAAUGCCCAUACGGCGCAGGUAGGCGAGUGUUAGAUUCCCGAGCUACUUGAGAAACCUUGGCGUGGUGCUCGGGCUCAGACAUGUCCUACACCGUAGGAUAUGUUGGCUAAUCACUCAAUUUUAACAUCAGUUUGAGGGUUUAGUAAGAC